UAGGAGACAGAGGCCAGUCGCGAUCGCCC
rnacentral:sRNA from 1 species